UAACACGUGGAUAACCUACCUAUAAGACUGGGAUAACUUCGGGAAACCGGAGCUAAUACCGGAUAAUAUAUUGAACCGCAUGGUUCAAUGGUGAAAGACGGUUUUGCUGUCACUUAUAGAUGGAUCCGCGCCGCAUUAGCUAGUUGGUAAGGUAACGGCUUACCAAGGCAACGAUGCGUAGCCGACCUGAGAGGGUGAUCGGCCACACUGGAACUGAGACACGGUCCAGACUCCUACGGGAGGCAGCAGAC
rnacentral:rRNA from 1 species